GAUGAACGCUAGCGGCAGGCUUAAUACAUGCAUGUCGAGGGACAGCACAGGUAGCAAUACUGGGUGGUAACCGGCAAACGGGCGCGGAACACGUACACAACCUUCCUUUAAGUGGGGGAUAGCCCAGAGAAAUUUGGAUUAAUACCCCGUAAUAUAGUUGAAUGGCAUCAUUUGAUUAUUAUAGCUACGGCGCUUAAUGAUGGGUGUGCGGCUGAUUAGAUAGUUGGCGGGGUAACGGCCCACCAAGUCUACGAUCAGUAGCUGAUGUGAGAGCAUGAUCAGCCAAACGGGCACUGAGACACGGGCCCGACUCCUACGGGAGGCAGCAGUAAGGAAUAUUGGUCAAUGGACGCGAGUCUGAACCAGCCAUGCCGCGUGAAGGAUUAAGGUCCUCUGGAUUGUAAACUUCUUUUAUUUGGGACGAAAAAGGGCCUUUCUAGGUCAACUGACGGUACCAGAUGAAUAAGCACCGGCUAACUCCGUGCCAGCCGCCGCCGUAAUAC
rnacentral:rRNA from 1 species